UUUAUUAUUAUUAUUCUUCUUGUUUUUCCUUCUGACUUCUUUUUUGCUUUAUAUCUCAAAAACUAUUCAACCGAUUUGCAAGAAAUUUUCAGGGAUAAUGUUAAAUACUUGUCCCUUGAAGAUUUUAAACUUUCAGUCAUUAAGUCACUUCCGUUUUCUAGUUACGUCAUUUUUAAAAAUUUCAAAAAGUGAUUUUGUCCAGGACUUUUCUCGUAAACGGUUGUUUAUAAAGACUUGAAAUUCUCUGUGAUUGUAAAUCUGCGGAUUUACUUAUGGCAAAUUUACAAAAAAAAUUAUUUUGUCACUUCCGGUCGAAACUGGAAGUGAUUCUAAUUUUUCGGAAUUUUCAUUUUUUUGAGCGAAUAAUAAAAUUAUAUGCAUGUUGUAGAGUUUGCAAAGCUAAAUGCAAAACUGAAAUUCGUUUUAAAAUCGGAUGAUGCAUUUAAGAGAUAUCGGGGUUUAAAAAUUGAUCUUUCCGGAAAUUUUGAUUCCGUGUUUUUGGUUUUAAAAAUAGUGCAAAUUUCACACUGAAAGUAAUUUCUACUGAAAACAAUUCGUACUGAUAAUUAAACUAUAUAUAAAACACAAAAUUAUAUGCAUAUUGUAGAGUUUGCAAAGCUCAAUACAAAACUGAAAUUCGUUUUCAAGUCGGAUGAUGCAUUGCAGAGAUAUCGGGGUUUAAAUAUUGAUUUUUCCGGAAAUUUUGAUUCCGUGUUCUUGGUUUAAAAAAUAGUGUAAAAUUCACACUGAAAGUAACUCCUGCUGAAAACAAUUCGUGCAGGUCAUAAAACCGGACUCUGUUUUUUAAUAGUUAAUUAAAGUGUUUAUCGAUACAAUUUCGUUAUUUCGAUUGAUAAUUACGUUGUUAGUUUUUAUUAGUCUUAUUAGUUUUAAUCGAAAUAAUUAUCGUACGAUUCCCCAUUUCAACUCGCCAUGUUUUGACUGCGAACAAACAGCUGAUAGCGGUGUGUCUACAUUUUUAAAAGAAGCAUGGCCUGCAAGACGUCGAUAGUGGAAAUUUCAGCUCUACUAACGUAUGACAGAUUAUAAAGCUUAAAGCAGACUCUUGUUACCACAUGACUUUUACCUGUUGAUUCUUGUGGUUUCAGCUCUUGAGGUUAACCUGUCACCUCUACCCACAUGCAUAUUCCCUGUGUUCUACAGACUAUCUACCGGUAAUUCAAAUUAAAUCGGAUAAUGCAUGAACAAUAAUGGAACUUUAAGAAAGCAUCAUGUCCUAUUGUGGUUUGUUCAUGUUUGAUAAGAAAUUAUGAAAAACAAAAUUAAGGCUGUUUAAAGAAAUAUAAUUGUUGUGAAAAUUUGUUUUUCAAUAAAAGUAUGCAAUUAUA